AUUUUCUAGAAAUUUUAAGGAUUUGGCGGUGAUUUAAACUUAUUAGAGGAACCUGCUUUUUUAAUUGAUAUACCACGCUAAAAUCUUACUUAUUUUUAAAGUUUGUAUACCAUCAUUAAAGAUAAUUUUGAAAAAAAGAAUUAUUAAAGUUAAUAUUAUUAUUAAAUAAAUUAGAUCAAGGUGCAGCUUAUGAAUAAGNUUAAAUGGGUNACAAUAAUUUUUUUUUA
rnacentral:rRNA from 1 species